GAUGAACGCUGGCGGCGUGCCUAAUACAUGCAAGUCGAGCGAACGGACGAGAAGCUUGCUUCUCUGAUGUUAGCGGCGGACGGGUGAGUAACACGUGGAUAACCUACCUAUAAGACUGGGAUAACUUCGGGAAACCGGAGCUAAUACCGGAUAAUAUUUUGAACCGCAUGGUUCAAAAGUGAAAGACGGUCUUGCUGUCACUUAUAGAUGGAUCCGCGCUGCAUUAGCUAGUUGGUAAGGUAACGGCUUACCAAGGCAACGAUGCAUAGCCGACCUGAGAGGGUGAUCGGCCACACUGGAACUGAGACACGGUCCAGACACCUACGGGAGGCAGCAGUAGGGAAGCUUCAGGAAUGGGCGAAAGCCUGACGGAGCAACGACGCGUGAGUGAUGAAGGUCUUCGGAUCGGAAAACUCUGUUAUUAGGGAAGAACAUAUGUGUAAGUAACUGUGCACAUCUUGACGGUACCUAAUCAGAAAGCCACGGCUAACUACGU
rnacentral:rRNA from 1 species